rnacentral:rRNA from 1 species
GCGAGUGAAGCGGCAACAGCUCAAAUUUGAAAUCUGGCCCCCUAGGGAGUCCGAGUUGUAAUUUGCAGAGGAUGCUUUUGGCGAGGCGCCGGCCGAGUGCCCUGGAAUGGGACGCCGUAGAGGGUGAGAGCCCCGUACGGCCGGACGUCGAGCCUCUGUAAAGCUCCCUCGACGAGUCGAGUAGUUUGGGAAUGCUGCUCUAAACGGGAGGUAAACCCCUUCUAAAGCUAAAUACCGGCCAGAGACCGAUAGCGCACAAGUAGAGUGAUCGAAAGAUGAAAAGCACUUUGAAAAGAGAGUUAAACAGCACGUGAAAUUGUUGAAAGGGAAGCGCUUGUGGCCAGACUUGCGCCCGGCGGCUCAGCCGUCCCUCGUGGGCGGUGCACUCCGCCGGGCUCAGGCCAGCAUCAGCUCGCUGCUGGGGAGAAAGGCGGUGGGAACGUGGCUCUUCGGAGUGUUAUAGCCCGCCGCCAUGCCCUCCAGCGGGCUGAGGUUCGCGCCUUAGGGCAAGGAUGCUGGCGUAAUGGCCAUCAGCGACCCGUCUUGAAACACGGACCAAGGAGUCGUCCUAGCAUGCGAGUGUUCGGGUGCCAAACCCCUACGCGAAAUGAAAGUGAACGGAGGUGAGAGCUUCGGCGCAUCAUCGACCGAUCCUGAUGUUUUCGGAUGGAUUUGAGUAGGAGCAUGCUGGGCCGGACCCGAAAGAAGGUGAACUAUGCUUGGAUAGGGCAAAGCCAGAGGAAACUCUGGUGGAGGCUCGCAGCGGUUCUGACGUGCAAAUCGAUCGUCAAAUCUGAG